GGUAGAGAUUCUUCGGAAUCUUGAGAGCGGCGUACGGGUGCGGAACACGUGUGCAACCUACCUUUAUCAGGGGGAUAGCCUUUCGAAAGGAAGAUUAAUACCCCAUAAUAUAUUGACUGGCAUCAGUUGGUAUUGAAAACUCCGGUGGAUAGAGAUGGGCACGCGCAAGAUUAGAUAGUUGGUAGGGUAACGGCCUACCAAGUCAGUGAUCUUUAGGGGGCCUGAGAGGGUGAUCCCCCACACUGGUACUGAGACACGGACCAGACUCCUACGGGAGGCAGCAGUGAGGAAUAUUGGACAAUGGGUGAAAGCCUGAUCCAGCCAUCCCGCGUGAAGGACGACGGUUCUAUGGAUUGUAAACUUCUUUUAUAUAGGGAUAAACCUUUCUACGUGUAGAAAGCUGAAGGUACUAUAUGAAUAAGCACCGGCUAACUCCGUGCCAGCAGCCGCGGUAAUACGGAGGGUGCAAGCGUUAUCCGGAUUUAUUGGGUUUAAAGGGUCCGUAGGCGGAUCUGUAAGUCAGUGGUGAAAUCUCAUAGCUUAACUAUGAAACUGCCAUUGAUACUGCAGGUCUUGAGUAAAGUAGAAGUGGCUGGAAUAAGUAGUGUAGCGGUGAAAUGCAUAGAUAUUACUUAGAACACCAAUUGCGAAGGCAGGUCACUAUGUUUUAACUGACGCUGAUGG
rnacentral:rRNA from 1 species